rnacentral:rRNA from 1 species
CGAGUCGAGUUGUUUGGGAAUGCAGCUCAAAAUGGGUGGUAAAUUUCAUCUAAAGCUAAAUAUGGGCCAGAGACCGAUAGCGCACAAGUAGAGUGAUCGAAAGAUGAAAAGCACUUUGGAAAGAGAGUUAAACAGUACGUGAAAUUGUUGAAAGGGAAGCGCUUGCAACCAGACUUGGGCGCUGCCGAUCACCUUGAGUUUUCUCGAGUGCACUCGACAGCGCACAGGCCAGCAUCGGUUCGGGUGGCUGGAUAAAGGCCGUAGGAAUGUGGCUCUCUUCGGGGAGUGUUAUAGCCUACGGUGCCAUGCAGCCCAGCCGGACCGAGGACCGCGCCUUCGGGCUAGGAUGCUGGCGUAAUGGUUGUAAGCGACCCGUCUUGAAACACGGACCAAGGAGUCUAACAUCUAUGCGAGUGUUUGGGUGGUAAACCCAUACGCGGAAUGAAAGUGAACGUAGGUGAGAACCCCUUUGGGGCGCAUCAUCGACCGAUCC